rnacentral:rRNA from 1 species
GAAAUAGAAAAAAUUAUUAGUAUUGGUUUGAAUAUUUAGUUUAAAAAAAGUAGUUAAAAUUGAGUAUUUGUUAUGAAAAAGAUGGGUUAAUUAUAGUUUAAUAGUAUUGUGAGAGAAUUUUUUUUAUUAAUAAAAGAAAAAUUUAUUUUUGUAUCUUGUGUAUCAGAGUCAGUUAAAUUUUAUUAGGAAAAUAAUUUCUCGAAUUUAAAAGGGUUAAAUUUAAAUUAAUUAAUUGUGGAAUAAAUUUUUUAAAUUUAAAUUUAGUAAUGAAAUGUUAUUCGUUUUUAAUAUAUCUAGUUAUUUAAGAAAAAAGUUUAAUUUGUUUAUUAAUAAUUAUUUGUUUUACUUUAGAAUGGAAUGGUAUUAAUAAGUUAUUUUAAAGGGGAUAAGCUUUUUAAGAAAAUUUUAAAAAUUUUCUAAAAAAUAAAAGAUUAUGGGGUUAGAAGUGCUUUUUUUGGUAAAGUGUUAUAAUUAAUUUUUAUAAGAAUAUUAUUUUUAUGGGUUUUAAAUUUUUUAUUAAAUUAAAUAAUAUAAUCAAGUAUUUAUUGAAAUAAUGGUUGAAUAAGUAUUUAUGGGUGUAAAUAACUUUUUAGGGGAAGGUUAUUUUAAGGAAUUCGGCAAAUAUUUUUUUCACCUGUUUAUUAAAAACAUGGCCUUUUGAGAAUAAUUUUAGGUCUAGCCUGCCCACUGAAGUUUUAAAUGGCUGCGGUAUUUUGACCGUACUAAGGUAGCAUAAUCAUUAGUUUUUUAAUUGAAAGCUGGAAUGAAGGGUUGAAUGAAAAAAAAAUUGUCUCGAAGUUAUUUUAAUAGAAUUUUAUUUUUAAGUUAAAAAGCUUAAAUAGUUUUAAAAGACGAGAAGACCCUAUAGAGUUUUAUAUAAAGUAGUAUUAAGUGAUUAAGAAUUUAUAGUUUUAAUAUAAAUUUAUAAUUGGUUGGGGAGAUUAUAAAAUUAAUUAAACUUUUAAUAAAAAAAUCAUUUAUAAAUGAAAAUUUGAUCCAUAUUUAAUGAUUAAAAGAAAAAAUUACCUUAGGGAUAACAGCGUAAUUUUUUUUGAGAGUUCUUAUCGAUAGAAGAGAUUGCGACCUCGAUGUUGGAUUAAAAUUAAUUUUUGGUGAAGAAGUUAGAAAUUUUAGGUCUGUUCGACCUUUAAAAUUUUACAUGAUCUGAGUUUAAACCGGUGUGAGCCAGGUUGGUUUCUAUCUUUAAAAAAAUUAUUUAUUUUAGUACGAAAGGACCGAAUAAAUAAAAAAUUAUUAAGUUUUUGAAUAAUUGUGU